UGAAAGUUGAGCUGGCCGAAAAGAAGUCAAACCCAGGUGGUGGUGGCUCCUCUCUGGGGGUGUUCUCUGGGUACCUGGCAAUCCGCGCCCUGAGUCAAGACCAGGGAGCUCUGUCUCCCAGUCCCUGGCACCAGGCAAGGAAGGCUAUCCAAUGUCAGAGAUCAGCAAAGCCCUCCAUGUGACCAACCCAUGCACCAGCACUUGUCUUCCCAGCAUGCUGCAGCCACGUUUCCAGCAAGCAGUUUCGAUGGCGGUCAGCCAAGGCUCUCGUUUAGCCAGUCACAGAUGCCUGGUCACAGAACAGCUGCUCCCUGCAUGUGUCUGGUCCCAAAGGCCAAAUGUUUCCACUCAGUUCCUGCAGUCCUAAAGCCUCCUCUUUCCUCUCCCCAUGUCCCCAGUUGUCCCUUCCCAGAAAGCCAACCUGAACCAGAGCCAUUAUCUCUGGGCUUGAUUUCUUUUCUUUUCUUUUAAUAAAUGUAUGUUAAUAAUCUCAA